UACUCGAGUGGCGAACGGGUGAGUAACACGUGGGUGAUCUGCCCUGCACUGCGGGAUAAGCUUGGGAAACUGGGUCUAAUACCGGAUAGGAACCAUCUUUAGUGUGGUGGUUGGAAAGUUUUUUCGGUGUAGGAUGAGCUCGCGGCCUAUCAGCUUGUUGGUGGGGUAAUGGCCUACCAAGGCGGCGACGGGUAGCCGGACUGAGAGGUUGGUCGGCCACAUUGGGACUGAGAUACGGCCCAG
rnacentral:rRNA from 1 species